AGUGGGAGGAGAGUUUGACCGUCUAAGGGCAGGAGAUAGCAUAUGUCGUAGGGUGGAUUAUAAGGUCUAAGGGCAGGAGAUAGCAUAUCUCGUAGGGUGGACUAUAAGCUCUAAGGUCAGGAGAUAGCAUAUGUCUUAGGGUGGAUUAUAAGGUCUAAGGGCAGGAGAUAGCAUAUGUCGUAGGGUGGACUAUAAGCUCUAAGGUCAGGAGAUAGCAUAUGUCGUAGGGUGGACUAUAAACUCUAAGGUCAGGAGAUAGCAUAUGUCGUAGGGUGGACUAUAAACUCUAAGGUCAGGAGAUAGCAUAUGUCGUAGGGUGGACUUUAACAGAAUUUUCACUGAACUAUGCAUGCUUUCGCCAAUGAUUGACAUACACUUUUAUUUAACUUUUAUUUAACUAGGCAAUUCAGUUAAGAACAAAUUAUUAUUUAUAAUGACGGCCUACCAGAAGGCUAAAGGCCUCCUGCGGGUACGGGGGCCUGGGAUUAAAAAAUAAAAAAUAAAAUACAAAUAUAGGACAAAACUCACAUCACGACAAGAGAGACAUCACAACACUGCAUAAAGAGAGACCUAUUAAUUGAUUUCUGAUUGCCCUUAAUUGAUUGCAUGUGUGUAAUGUGACACAAAAAAUACGAAGUGCAUGCUCUUCAAUCGAUCACUGCCCGCACCCGCCCGCCUGACUAGCAUCACUACUCUGGACGGUUCUGACUUAGAAUAUGUGGACAACUACUAAUAUCUAGGUGUCUGGCUAGACUGUAAACUCUCCUUCCAGACUCAUAUUAAGCAUCUCCAAUCAAAAAUUAAAUAUAGAAUUGGCUUCCUAUUUCGCAACAAAGCCUCCUUCACUCACGCAGCCAAACAUAUCCUCGUAAAACUGACUAUCCUACCAAUCAAUGACUUUGGCCACAUCAAUUACAAAAUAGCCUCUAACACUACUCAGCAAAUUGGAUGCAGUCUAUCACAGUGCCAUCUGUUUUGCUACCCACCACUGUGACCUGUAUGCUCUCGUUGGCUGGCCCUCGCUUCGCUUCAAAUUCGUCUCCAAACCCACUGGCUCCAGGUCAUAUAUAAGUCUUUGCUAGGUAAAGCUCCGCCUUAUCUCAGCUCACUGGUCACCAUAGCAACACCCACCCAUAGCAUUCGCUCCAGCAGGUAUAUCUCACUGGUCACCAUAGCAACACCCACCCGUAGCACGCGCUCCAGCAGGUAUAUCUCACUGGUCACCAUAGCAACACCCACCCGUAGCACGCGCUCCAGCAGGUAUAUCUCACUGGUCACCAUAGCAACACCCACCCGUAGCACGCGCUCCAGCAGGUAUAUCUCACUGGUCACCAUAGCAACACCCACCCGUAGCACGCGCUCCAGCAGGUAUAUCUCACUGGUCACCAUAGCAACACCCACCCGUAGCACGCGCUCCAGCAGGUAUAUCUCACUGGUCACCAUAGCAACACCCACCCGUAGCACGCGCUCCAGCAGGUAUAAAUUGCCUUUAAAUUGUUUAACUCGGGUCAAACGUUUCAGGUAGCCUUCCACAAGCUUCCCACAAUAAUUUGGGUGAAUUUUGUCCCAUUCCUCCUGACAGAGCUGGUGUAAUUGAGUCAGGUUUGUAGGCCUCCUGACAGAGCUGGUGUAACUGAGUCAGGUUUGUAGGGCUCCUGACAGAGCUGGUGUAAUUGAGUCAGGUUUGUAGGCCUCCUGACAGAGCUGGUGUAAUUGAGUCAGGUUUGUAGGCCUCCUUGCUCGCACAUGAUUUUCAGUUAUGCCCACACAUGUUCUAUAUGAUUGAGGUCAGGGCUUUGUGAUGGCCGCUCCAAUACCUUGACUUUGUUGUCCUUAAAGCCAUUUUUCCACAACUUUGGAAGUAUGCUUGGGGUCAUUGUCCAUUUGGAAGACCCAUUUGUGACCAAGCUUUAACUUCCUGACUGAUGUCUUGAGAUGUUGCCAUCAAUAUAUCCACCUAAUUUUCCUCCUCAUGUUGUCAUCUAUUUUGUGAAGUGCACCAGUCCCUCCUGCAGCAAAGCACCCCCACAACAUGAGGCUGCCACCCCUGUGCUUCACGGUGGGGAUGGUGUUCUUCGGCUUGCAAGCCUCCCCCUUUUUCCUCCAAACAUAACGAUAGUCAUUAUGGCCAAACAGUUCUAUUUUUGUCUUUGUCCCCAUGUGCAGUUGCAAGCCGCAGUCUGGCUUUUUAAAGGUGGUUUUUGGAGAAGUGGAUUCUUCCUUGCUUAGCGGCUUUUCAGGUUAUGUCGAUAGGACUCGUUUUACUGUGGAUAUAGAUACUUUUGUACCUGUUUCCUCCAGCAUCUUCACAAGGUCCUUUGCUGUUGUUCUGGGAUUGAUUUGCACUCUCUCACCGAAGUACAUUCAUCUCUAGGAGACAGAACGCGUCUCCUUCCUGAGCAGUAUGAUGUCUGCGUGGUCCCAUGGUGUUUAUACUUGCGUACUAUUGUUUGUACAGAUGAACGUGGUACCUUCAGGCGUUUGGAAAUUGCUCCCAAGGAUGAGCCAGACUUGUGGAGGUCUACAAUUAUUUUUCUGAGUUCUCGGCUGAUUUAUUUUGAUUUUCUCAUGAUGUCAAGCAAAGAGGCACUGAGUUUCAAGGUAGACCUUGAAAUACAUCCACAGGUACACCUCCAAUUGACUCAAAUUAUGUCAAUUAGCCUAUCAGAAGCUUCUAAAGCCAUGACAUAAUUUUCUGGAAUUUUCCAAGGCACAGUCAACUUAGUGUAUGUAAACUUCUGACCCACUGGAAUUGUGAUACAGUGAAUUAUAAGUUAAAUAAUCUGUCUGUAAACAAUUGUUGGAGAAAUUACUUGUGUCAUGCACAAAGUAGAUGUGCUAACCGACUUGCCAAAACUAUAGUUUGUUGACAAGAAAUGUUUGGAGUGGUUGAAGAACGAGUUUUAAUGACGCCAACCAAAGUGCAUGUAAACUUCCGACUUCAACUGUAGCUUCUUCCCCAUAUUCCUUUGUUUUUCUGCUCUUUAACACACCAGUAUUUCUACUCGCACAUCCUCAUCUGCACAUGUAUCACUCCAGUGUAAAUGGCUAAAUUGUAAUUACUUCGUCGCUAUUGGCCUAUUUACUUCAUUUGUACUGCAUACAGAUGUUCUAUUUUAUUAUUGACUGUAUGUUUGUUUUACUCCAUGUGUAACUCUGUGUUGUUGUUUGUGUCGUACUGCUUUGCUUUAUCUUGGGCCAGGUUGCAGUUGUAAAUGAGAACUGGUUCUCAACUGGCCUACCUGGUUAAUUAAACUUGAAAUUAAAAAUAAACAUACAGAGAGACUUAUGAAUUGA